UCUGUUUACUCGGCAUUGUUGUGUUACAUUACUGCCGUCAACAAUCCGCUUUCGUUAUUGCGGAAAGAACUGAGCUGUGAAUCGGCUGUAGAAUAAGUGCGUCGUAGAAUAGAUAAUUUUGUGCUGGUAAAAACGUUUUAGAAUAUCACAGAUCCCGGUGACAGAAGGUGACGUCUUCAAACAAUGGCAACAGAUAUUUGUUUAUACUCUGCAUUGUUGUGUUGGUAUAGAAACACAACAAUGCCGAGUAAACAAAUAACGUAAUAAAUAAACAAAUACCAAGCCAGUCGCAUGAUCACUGCUCUACAAGCAGCACAUCGUCUCCGAACAGCGACAGAAAACUAUUUAAGAAAUGAAGAAAAGUGAGAGAAGACGUACUAACACCAACAAGUCGUAAUCCAGGGCGAGCCUCAGGUACUGGGCGGGCGACAGGUGGCGGAUAGUGAUAUGAGGGUUAGCUGCGAAUAAGGGGCAGUCCCGGACCGAGGCGGCAAGACCGGAGAGCGUGGGAGUGUAGCUGGUGGCAGGCUACACCCAUCAAAUACCACAUGAGCUCAGUGCCCCCACUGCCUUGUGGGUAGGGGAGGAAUCCCCAAAGGCUAAGGGAAGGAAAACCCUGACAGAAAACCAAGGGUAGAAGGGGCUGCAUAGGGAUAGAGAAACCAGUCCUUCUAAGGGAAAGAACCCGGAAUAAAAACUUAUGGAGGACCGUGGGGGGGUGCACAUCGGACUACCAACCCAAUUCUGGAAGAAGCUCACACACUGAAAGGGCCGUAGUGCUAGAGAAGAAGAGGUUG